AGAGUUUGAUCCUGGCUCAGGAUGAACGCUAGCUACAGGCUUAACACAUGCAAGUCGAGGGGAAACGACAUCGAAAGCUUGCUUUUGAUGGGCGUCGACCGGCGCACGGGUGAGUAACGCGUAUCCAACCUGCCCAUCACUUGGGGAUAACCUUGCGAAAGUAAGACUAAUACCCAAUGAUAUCUCUAGAAGACAUCUGAAAGAGAUUAAAGAUUUAUCGGUGAUGGAUGGGGAUGCGUCUGAUUAGCUUGGUUGGCGGGGUAACGGCCCACAAGGCUACGAUCGAGUAGGGGUUCUGAGAGGAAGGUCCCCCANAUUGGAACUGAGACACGGUCCAAACUCCUACGGGAGGCA
rnacentral:rRNA from 1 species